UUUCGGGCUUUAUUUGCGCAGGAUAGGUGGGAGGCUUUGAGAGUGUUUUUGAGGGAACAUUUGAGCCAUUGGUGAGAUACCACUCUUAUAAAGCUAGAAUUCUAACCUUAUACCGUUAGCCGGUUAAGGAACAGUCUCUGGUGGGCAGUUUGACUGGGGCGGUCGCCUCCUAAAAGGUAACGGAGGCGCACAAAGGUUUCCUCAGAUCGGUCAGAAAUCGAUCGUAGGGCGUAAAGGCAUAAGGAAGCUUGACUGCGAGACCUACAAGUCGAGCAGAGACGAAAGUCGGUCUUAGUGAUCUGACGGUUCCGAGUGGAAGGGCCGUCACUCAACGGAUAAAAGUUACUCUAGGGAUAAC
rnacentral:rRNA from 1 species